GAAACAGUUCUUGUGGAAACUACCAGAUGAAGUGGUGAAUUGGCAGGUGUCGUUUGGAUCACUGGGGUGUCGCCGAGGGGCUUGUUAAACAACAAGCCAAAACAACAAAAACAACAACAGCAACACCAAUAUGUUUGGUAAAAAGAAGAGAGCACCACAGCCCAAAGGCCAGGGCGCUGCUGCAGCCAAGCAGAUGGGUCUGUUUGUAGACCUGGACCCUGAGGAGAUGAUGAUGGGUAUGGAAGAGAAUCUGGAUGACCCGGACUUAGAGGCUGAACUUGCUGCUAUAACUGGAAAUAAACCUGCUGCUAGAGGGAGAGCCAAGCAGAAGGGGAAGAGCCCUUUGCCCAUGGAGGACAUUGCUAAAAUGGCUGAUGAGUGUAUGAGGGAUGUUGAUGAGGAUGAAGAUGAGGAUGAUGUGGAAGACGACGAAGAUCUGUUGGCAGAGCUACAGGAAGUGGUGGGUGAGGGGGAAGCUGAGGAUGUUGCAACUGUUUCCUCCACAUCUUCUGCUGCUGUUGAAUUUUCUCAAGUUGAGAAGCAGGAAGUAAUGAUCUCCUCAGCGGCUCCUGGCAGCCUCCAGCACACCCUGGAGGAGAGGGUGGCCAUGUACAAGACGGCCUUACAAAAUGCCAAGAGUGCAGGGGAGACUUCCAAAGCCAGGAGAUUCGAUCGAGGUUUGAAGACUUUGGAGACGAUGUUAGCUGCUGUGAAAAAGGGGAGGCCUGUGAACGAGGCAGAAAUCCCUCCUCCUGUCGCCACUGGAGCCUCCGCCCCUCGGCCCGCUGUUCCUGCACGACCUGCUCCCCCUGUACCCUCGCGUCCUGAAUCCACUCCCUCAGAUCAGCAGGAGGAGUCAGAGGCCACAACAUCAACGCCUUCAGUACCAGAGAUCGUCACGCCCACCAGUGAAGAGGAGCAGUCGUCAUCCACCACUGCACCCGGUCUGAGCAGCGUCCCAUCUCCAGAGGAGCAGAGAGAGGAACCUGCCGACCUGCUGCAGACCACUCAGACGGAUGCCAACGAGGCAACCAAGACGAUGCUUUUGGAGAGGCAGAAAGAAUACAAGAUGGCGGCUCUGAGAGCCAAGAAGCAGGGAGAUGUGGAGCAAGCUAAACUUUACUUCAAGACCAGCAAGAGGUUCGACGCAGUGAUUGAGGCGUUGGAGAAAGGACAAGCAGUCGACCUGAGUGGCCUUCCUCCAUCUCCAGGACAGGGUUCAGGAGGAAGCUCUGCUCCAGUGAAGCAACUUUCUUCUGGGCAAAACACACAGGUCACCCAACCGGUUGCAGCAGUUCCAGCCCCUGCAGCCCCAUCAGCCCCUGCAGCUCCCAAAGACGUACUGGAGGCUCUCGAGCAGAGACGGGCAAAGUAUGUGGAGGCGUCGGCUCAGGCUAAAGCCAGCGGAGACGACCGCAAGGCACGAAUGCACGACCGCAUUGCUAAGCAAUACCAGAGCGCCAUCCGAGCUCACAAAGCAGGAAAAGCAGUCGACUUUGAUGAGCUGCCAGUUCCCCCUGGCUUUCCUCCAAUCCCUGGCCACAAGGCAACAGGAGCUGAGCAGGGAUUCGUUGCUGCUCUGGAGGCAGCCAAUAAACUCGCCUCUGCUGAUGCUGCUGGAGCACCAGAUGAAGAAGAUGAUGAGGAGAAAGAAGAGGAGUCGAAGCCUGCUGUUCCAGAAGAGCCAAAGAAGGUCACGUUAGACGUCUCCACUGCAGGUCAAGGACGGAAAAGGACUCCUUCAGCUUCACCUGAAAGAUCAGCUGCUAGGGAUGGACUCUCGCCAACAGCUGUUCAGCAGCUGGAGUUCCUGGAGGGUCGGAAGAAGCAGUACAUGAAGGCGGCGCUGCAGGCGAAGCAGAAGAACGACAUGGAGCAGGCCAAGGUUUUCCUCCGCACCGCCAAAGGCUUCGACCCGAUGAUUGAGGCAGCGCGCAGCGGGAAAUCUGUGGACAUCAGCACGGUGCCGUCGCCCCCUGGUGACGAAGACGACGACUUCAUCCUGGUUCAUCACAGCGACGUUCAGAUCUCGGAGAAAGCUGAGCAGGUUUACACACAACUGGCCAAGAUCCUCAAAGAGCAGUAUGAGAAAUGUAUGACUCACUCCAAGCAAUUCACACACCUGGGGAACGUCUCCGAAACUACAAAGUUUGAGAAGAUGGCGGAGAGCUGUAAGAAGAGUCUGGAGGUCCUGAAGCUGGCUCAGUCGAGGGGUCUGCCUCCUCCUAAACAUCACUUUGAAGAGAGAUCGUUUCACACUGUCAGGAUAUUUCCAGAGCUGAGCAGUACUGACAUGGUUGUUGUUAUCGUAAAAGGGAUGAAUCUUCCUGCACCAAGUGGAAUCCAAACAAACGAUCUGGAUGCUUAUGUCAAGUUUGACUUCCCCUACCCCAGCACUGAGCAGCCUCAGAAACACAAAACAGCUGUCAUCAAGAACACUAACUCCCCGGAAUACAACCAGAGCUUCACGCUGUCAAUCAACCGCAACCACCGCGGCUUCAGGAGGGUGGUGACGUCUAAAGGCCUCAAACUGGAGCUGCUGCACAAAGGAGGUUUCCUGCGGAGCGACAAGCCGAUUGGGACGGCCCUCGUGAAGCUGGACAAACUGGAGUCACAGAGUGAAAUCAGGGAAAUCGUAGAGGUGAUGGAUGGUCGUAAGCCCACAGGAGGUCGUGUUGAAGUGAAGAUCCGACUGCGGGAGCCUCUGAGCGGUCAGGACACGCAGACGAGCACCGAGCGCUGGCUGGUGAUCGACCAGUCGCAGGUUCUUCUGUAGAUGAAGAUUAAAGACAACUGACAAGAUACAGAUAAAAGGCACUCAAUCAAAAACACUCAGAGGAGGAAGAGGAAGGCGUUUCAGAUCUGAUGAGGACGGUCUGCGGUUCAGAUUGGACUCAGACCUACACGGGUCUUUGACUUUCUAAAACUUUUGCACAUUUGCAAGACACACGAGCUCCCUUUCACACGGCGGUCCACCAGGAGGAGACAGGGAGCUGGUUUACGUGUGAAAACAUCAGGCAGACGCAGCACCCUCACAGAUGUGUUACAGGAGUAAGCCAAGAAAUCAAGCUACUAUACAAGGUACGAUUAUAGAAUUAUUUUAAAGACCACACUCCCUUUUUUGGCACCUUUCACUUUGAUAAAUCUUUAAACUGUUCUCUUAUUUAUCUGUGGCUUUAGGUGUGUUAGAUUUUCUUUGGUCUUGUCUUGUUUACACUGAGCAUCACAAAUCUGAGCGAAGUUUGUGAGAAGUUUCAGUCUAAGAGAGAAAGCUAUUUAUUUUAUCUUAAGACAGAUUCAUUAUUUAACAGAUGAUUAUGUUAAAAAAAGUCAUUUCUAAGUACACACCAUCUACUCGACCAUAAUAUCAUCCUUUUGGGAAAUUCACUUAAUUCAUUUGAUGAGCAUAUGAAGCUGGAGUCAGAAAACAAUUAGCUUAGCUUAGCAUAAAGUUCAAAAGCACACCCACCAACACCUCUGAUGCUCACUGACUGACACGUUAAAUUUAAUAUAUUAAAUCUGUACAGACUGAGCAGGUGAGCGAAAAAAAUUUUAAACGUGUGGAACCAUCUUUGAAAACUAUGCAUCAGUUCUGUAUCUUGGGAUUAAUCCCUCUGUGCUUUAAAGGGUCAGUUCACCCAAAUUACAAAACGAAAUUUAACGAAUGGUUUGUCACACAUUACAAUGUAGUUAAAAAUAGUGGUGUAUUUGUCAACAACUAACCUCUUCUGUAUGCAUCCAGAAGUGGAGGCAAUAAAAUGACAAUAUAGUAAAACAGUUAUUAUAUUUUUUAAAAAGUAUCAUAGAAGACUGCACAGUAGAAUCUAGCCUCUUCCAAUCACGUUAAUAACGUAGUUUGUCAUUUAUUUUCGGACCAAUGACCAGACGAGCACGACACUGGCACUAAUAGAAACUACGGCACUUAACCCAUUUUUUUCCGAACAUAAGUUAAAGUAAAAAACAACACAGUGAAAAUAUAAAUUCUACUUUAUCAUUCAGUGAGUGUUAAUUAAAUAAAUCACUGUUGUUUCACAUUCACAGUGCACUUAACGUUACCUGUAGGUAACCUGCUACAGGUCACAGGAUACAGUGUAACACUGGUGGAGGGCUGAGGCCGAGCACUCGUCUGUUUUACGUUUUCAAACUGCCUCAACUUCUUACUUCAACACAGUGGAUGAACAUUUAAAGUGAAAGAUCCGAUAAGGGAUCCAAAAUGUUACCUGCUGCUAGAACUCAUCCCUCGCUUUAGCCUCUUUCAGCUUAUCGUUUUGGUACCUACACCAAACAGCAGACACGUUCAGAGACGAGCUGGUGAACAUAGUAGUUUAGCAGCUAAAGAAAUAUCAGAUAUUUCCACCAGGAGUUGGUAGACACCAAAAAUAGAGCUAAAAGAGAGAACAUAAAUUUGUCAGAAACAUUUGGCCCCAAACUGGCCAAAUAAAAUGUAUUAAUAAAGCUGUAAGUGAGAAAAUUGAGACAAGAUGUGAUUUUUAAAUAGUAAUUUGAGUGAACUGACCCUUUAAAGUUUCAACUACAGCAUUGUAACAAAUGCUGACAAAAGAAGCCAUAAACAUACUGAGCCAACUACAUGAAUCCCAUUUCCAACAGGUUUACCUCAACUCUGUCUGCAACAUGAUUUAGUUGCCAAACGUUAAAGUGGUCACAACAUUUCGUUUCUCUUCUUUGUUGUUUUUAUUCUGUGCAGCACUAUUUUAGGAAAACAUCAUGAAUCAGUGCAACUGACAACUGACAUUAAGUUAACUAGAAACAUUGUCCUAACUAAUUAAAGCACAUUGUCACCAAUCAUUUUACUUUGUGUUGUAAUAUCUGGAUCACCUUCGUGUUUACAAAGAUCAAUGAUGUCGCGUUGUAUAGAUUUCCAGAAACGAUACGAAACAAUCUCUGAAACAGAAACGAGAACUUAUUUUGUUUUUAAUUAUGGACUGAAUUUCUCCUGCUUAAAAUGUUCCAUUAAAAAAUACCUUGUUUUAGUUUUGCACUGAAGUAUUUUCUAAUACUUGUUGCUUUCUUUGAGUAAAAAAAUCUGAUUUAGAAAAAAAAUAACCACUCAUUUCAAUUUUCUAUAAGUUUUUAUUUUACAUAUACUACAGUUUUUUUGUUUCAUAAAGACCACUUUUCUUGACAUUUGUAGUGUAAAGAAAGAAAAACAUGUACAGGGUUUUUGGCUUUUCAAACAUUUUUGACCAAUGUUUGUUUAAAAAAAAAAAAAAAAAAAUUUUAACAAAACCCAGACAAUGAAAACUGAAAGAGUGGGUUGUUUUCUACGUUUCAUCCACAAACUAGAGGAUACAACUGUUAAAAUGCAAAGUUGAUUUGCUCUCUUCACUGUUUUCAAGCUCGUUUCUGUUUGCAUGCAGUGUUAUAGGUUUGGAUAGUAACAUCUUACAACUGAAGACAAAAAAAUAAAUGCUACUUUCAGUCAGACAAAUUGCACCUUUUUUUGGAUUUAGGACAUAUUGCACACGUCAGAUAAUGCCAAAAAUAACAAUUAACAUAAAACAGGGAGUCUGAGAAAAUAAAUCCUUGAAGUCUCCUCUUCAUUUAUGCUAAUUUUUUUUU